UACGGGGGGGGCAAGCGUUGUUCGGAAUCACUGGGCGUAAAGGGCGCGUAGGCGGCCGAUCAAGUCGGGGGUGAAAGCCUGUGGCUUAACCACAGAAUGGCCUUCGAUACUGUUUGGCUUGAGACCGGAAGAGGUUAGUGGAACUGCGAGUGUAGAGGUGAAAUUCGUAGAUAUUCGCAAGAACACCAGUGGCGAAGGCGGCUGACUGGUCCGGUUCUGACGCUGAGGCGCGAAAGCGUGGGGAGCAAACAGG
rnacentral:rRNA from 1 species